CAAGACGUAGCUAAAAUAGUAAAGCGUCUCCCUUACACCGAGAAGUCGUCUGUGCAAGUCAGACCGCCUUGA
rnacentral:tRNA from 1 species